CGCGGCCUAUCAGCUUGUUGGUGGGGUGAUGGCCUACCAAGGCGACGACGGGUAGCCGGCCUGAGAGGGUGUCCGGCCACACUGGGACUGAGAUACGGCCCAGACUCCUACGGGAGGCAGCAGUGGGGAAUAUUGCACAAUGGGCGCAAGCCUGAUGCAGCGACGCCGCGUGGGGGAUGACGGCCUUCGGGUUGUAAACCUCUUUCACCAUCGGCGAAGCCGGGAGCUUUUGUUUCUGGUGACGGUAGGUGGAGAAGAAGCACCGGCCAACUACGUGCCAGCAGCCGCGGUAAUACGUAGGGUGCGAGCGUUGUCCGGAAUUACUGGGCGUAAAGAGCUCGUAGGUGGUUUGUCGCGUUGUCCGUGAAAUUCCCUGGCUUAACUGGGGGCGUGCGGGCGAUACGGGCAGACUGGAGUACUGCAGGGGAGACUGGAAUUCCUGGUGUAGCGGUGGAAUGUGCAGAUAUCAGGAGGAACACCGGUGGCGAAGGCGGGUCUCUGGGCAGUAACUGACGCUGAGGAGCGAAAGCGUGGGGAGCGAACAGGAUUAGAUACCCUGGUAGUCCACGCCGUAAACGGUGGGUACUAGGUGUGGGUUUCCUUCCUUGGGAUCCGUGCCGUAGCUAACGCAUUAAGUACCCCGC
rnacentral:rRNA from 1 species